UAAUGUGAAUUGCAGAAUUCAGUGAAUCAUCGAAUCUUUGAACGCACCUUGCGCCCUUUGGCUAUUCCGAAGGGCAUGCCUGUUUGAGUAUCAUG
rnacentral:rRNA from 1 species